UAAAAUCAUAUGGCUGCCUCACUCUUUCAUUCUCCCACUUUUCUUAGAGACAUGGAUAUAGAGAUGCUUUCCUCUACAAACGCAGUGAUAAAAGGCAACGAGCACUCAACCUUGCUACUGUGGGACAAGAGGGAGUGGUGAGCACUUUGGCAAACUGGCAGCAGAUGCUUGAUCUAAAGGACACAGAUCGUGUGGCCCGAACAAUAUUCUACAGGCUGGAUCCAGCUCCUGGGCUGCUGUUUGACAACUGAUGUUGCUGGUCACCAGCUGGACUCACUCCCCUGAUGAAGUCUAAGGCCAGUGGAACUCGCCCUUCACUAAACCUACACACCACACUUCUAGGAAUGCAGACUAAAUUUGCAAUCAUUUUUCCAGCAGUUGUGUCAUAUACUUUAAAUUCACACGAAACUGGUGGCUAAGGACCUCCAAGUCUUCAUGUGAGUGUUGUCCAGCCUGACCUCUCAAACCAUCUUGUGCAAUGAUACGUUGAACCUACCUGCAUGGCUUUGCAUUUAUCUCUGUUGGUCCCCAUUCUGUCUUACAGAGUUUGUGCUAUUUUUCCCCAACCUGCUUUUGGC
rnacentral:lncRNA from 1 species